GACAGAGGUGCCAAGCGUUAGGCGGAAUCACUGGGCUUAAAGCGUGUGUAGGCGGACUCGUAAGUACCUUGUGAAAUCCCACGGCUCAACCGUGGAACUGCUUGGUAUACUGCUUGUCUUGAGCCACUUAGGGGCUGUCGGAACAAACGGUGGAGCGGUGAAAUGCGUAGAUAUCGGAAGGAACACCGGUGGCGAAAGCGGCGCGCUGGACCUCUACUGACGCUGAGGCGCGAAAGCCAGGGGAGCAAACGGG
rnacentral:rRNA from 1 species